rnacentral:rRNA from 1 species
GGGCGCAGCCUGAUCCAGCCAUGCCGCGUGCAGGAUGAAGGCCUUCGGGUUGUAAACUGCUUUUGUACGGAACGAAAAAGCCUUCUCUAAUAAAGGGGGUGAAUGACGGUACCGUAAGAAUAAGCACCGGCUAACUACGUGCCAGCAGCCGCGGUAAUACGUAGGGUGCAAGCGUUAAUCGGAAUUACUGGGCGUAAAGCGUGCGCAGGCGGUUAUGUAAGACAGAGGUGAAAUCCCCGGGCUCAACCUGGGAACUGCCUUUGUGACUGCAUAGCUGGAGUUUGGCAGAGGGA